UUUACGUCUGUAUCGGUAGAGAUAAGUUUUUGUCAAACUUUUUUUUGCUUGGGACCAGUGCUAGCAGUACACGUGUUCCUAGAAAUGUUCCUGGACCUAAUUUACUGGUUCAAAUGGGACUAGUCAACUAGUCUAAAAGACAGAAAACACUAAAAAUGAUCACAGUUAUUGACGAGGAUGAACGCAUUUUGUCAGGGUCCCUGUGUCUACCCGGCUGGCUCAGUGUGGCUACAUGUGUUUUUGUUUUGAUUUUGCUCCUGUUCUCUCUCUCCUUCCCUCUCUGUCCCUCCGUCUUCUCCACUGCCUGGGCGGAGCUCAUCUCGGGCUCCCCGCCCUUGGCCCACGCACCUGUCUGCAAUCACACACCUGAAGCUCAUUACCUGGCAGUUCUCUGGCUGCUACUUACAUGGCUGCUCAGCAUCUCUGCUGGACCGCUACCGACUGUCAGUUUCUUGGACUUGCCCCUGUGUUUCUGGACUGCCGUCCGUUCACGUGUUUGGAGUAAACCCUAUUGUCUGAAGUGUGGAGCAAGAGCGAGGACUGGAGUGUGUGGAGCGUGGAUUGUGGAGCGAGUGUGGAGUGCAUUUUCUCUUUCCCCCCCACACCCGUCGAGGACUCCUGGUGCCCCGUCUGUUCCCUCACCUUGUACAUAGUUCACCUGCUUCCUGUCACAGAGAGAGAAGACACUUCUGUCUGGAUGAUGAGGGAUCAUCCAUGGUCAUUGGUACCUCUCCAAUCAAGCAGACAUUAAUCCCUAAAUUGAUAUCAUGACUAGAUUCAUAAUAAAUUGAAUGAAG